ensembl:lncRNA
GAUCCUCUCUGACAUGUCCCAUUUGGUGCUAUCCUUUGAUAAAGAGGAAAAACCCAAGCCCUGUCUUGCUGAAAAUUUGCAGUUAUAAAGCUGGACACACUUUGUUGACCAAAAUGGAGCAAGAAAAUAGGCAGGUCAGAUUUAAGAAUGAGUAUGGUCUUAAUCUAUAGGAUUAUCUGGGAUGAAGAAAUUUCUACAAUAACCCAAACCAUUACUGGGUGUUAAUUCCACCACAGGGCUAUUUACAGGAUGAUUUAAAUUGACAUAUGCAGGCUCUGUUAUCCUGAUUAGCUCACUUGUGAGUGCUGUUGGGCCUCCAUACCCAGAUCCUCAGGUGCCUAAUUCUGGUAAAGCUGUCCCACCUGGCUUCCCAAGGAAAUUGGUUCUUUCUUACUCAGCUCCUCCCUAAUUGUGGACUGGAGGAACUAAUUACCCUGAGACAAGGAUUUGGAGUGCUGUGGGGGGUUUUCCACUGCUUUGAAUGAGAGCAGGAUUGAACGCUUUGCGACAGUUUAAAAAGGCUAUGUACUCAUUUGAACUAAAAUUACCCAGCUGCCAGCCUGCUUGAUAGCAAUUACAUCUAAAGAGAGAAAACCACUGAACUUCAUGUAUUGGUGUCAGAACAGGCUGAUGGAGGCAACAUGGGGCAUGGCCACAAAUGGGCCGUGGGCUGUGAUGUCCCACUGCGGGGCAGGGAUCCUCCACCAGCAGGGGGCUGCAGAGCCAAAAAGCCUAAAUCCACCUCUCUACCCCUCUGAGCACCCUGCACUGAGAGAACAAAGAAAGGUGAUGCCAAAAAGCAGGAAUGGUGAAGACUUGGCUCUGAUCUAGGAUCAAGAAGUGAGGCUGGCUUUCCCAUGAGUCUUUCAGAUGCUAUAGAAGUCACUCCCAAAGUGUUCCUUUUUCAUUAGGGAAUGUGUAAAUUCACAUCCGUGGACAGUAAGUGUUCACAAAUCCCUCUGCACCCAGAGUGGUGCAUGCCUGCGCAUUGCCUAUCACAGUUCUGAUGUGUCUCUUUUCACACAGCCCGGUUUGAAGCAGUGGUCAUGCCCAAGCCAUGGAGGCAGUCAGUGGUAAGUUUUGGACAAGAAGCUGAUUUUUUUAGAGCACUGGUUGCUGUUUGUAAGCGCUAGAAGCAUGUCCCUGCCUACUCUCCUGGGAUUCUUAUCCCUUAAAGCAGGGAACACUUUGAACACUUUGAUUUUUGCAAGUACAUUCAAAUUACAGCUGGCAUUCACAGAUUUGUAGGUUUUUGAGGCCAGGAGUGCAUCCUUUUUUUGUCCAACUUUCCCUGUAUUCAGCCCAGUAACUUGCAUUUGACUAAAGCAUAGCUUUUGUUUGAUUAAAGCACAGCUGCCAGAAAAGCAUUCAGACCCGAUUUGAAGACAUCAGGAGAGAGAAAUUCCAUCUCUUCCCUUGAUGCUUCAUUCUAGUGGCUAAUCACCUUCAAUGCUAAAUAUUUGUGCCAUUCUGGCUAGAUUAAAGAGCAUUUCAGUACGUGGCGUUCCUAUGAGAUAAUUCUUGCAAUGAAGUAACCUUUUAAUCUUCUUUUUGAUAAAUUAAACAGUGUGAGAUCUUUA